rnacentral:rRNA from 1 species
UACAGAGGGUGCAAGCGUUAAUCGGAAUUACUGGGCGUAAAGCGUGCGUAGACGGUUAUGUAAGUCAGGUGUGAAAGCCCCGGGCUCAACCUGGGAAUGCCAUUUGAGACUGCAUAGCUAGGGUACGGAAGAGGGAAGCGGAAUUUCAGGUGUAGCGGUGAAAUGCGUAGAUAUCUGAAGGAACACCAGUGGCGAAAGCGGCUUCCUGGUCCAGCACCGACGUUCAGGCACGAAAGCGUGGGGAGCAAACAGG